UAAAGGGGACGCGCGCCUGUGCAGGCGCGGCUGGGCUCGGGGCCCCACUCCGUUCCUAAAGACCCGGACGCCUCCCUAACUUUGCCCUGCCGGGUUUCCGGCCUCCCUUGGAGUGCCAGCGAUUUCCUUUAGUUUUUGAAACGGCACUCCCUUCUGAGGGUUGGUUGUUGGUUUUUUUUUUUUCCCCCUUCCAGGGAGCAUAAGAGCUUCACAGACUUAUUGUAUGAAAAAGUCUAAGAGGAAAAUAGAAAUUAAGUCAUGGCAUCGCUCAGAAUUUUAAGAUUGGCGUUGGAAGUCUCGCAAGAGGAUGCGGCUUAUGCAAGGAGGGCCCGAAGAUGUUGCCUUUCUGGGGAGGGUCUUUAAAAUGAGGAAGAAGAUUCACAGCAACCAACUACUCCUCAUUAUUGGAAAUAGAUACGUAAAGUGACCUUCUAUCAGGAGAAUACAAAGUUAAACGCUGAGAAUAUUAAAUACUUCGAAAACAC